rnacentral:rRNA from 1 species
GGCUCAGGACGAACGCUGGCGGCGUGCCUAAUACAUGCAAGUCGAACGGCUUUUCUAUGGAAGCUUGCUUCCGCUGAGAAGAUAGUGGCGAACGGGUGAGUAACACGUGGGUAACCUGCCCAUAAGAGGGGGAUAACAUCCGGAAACGGGUGCUAAUACCGCAUAGUUUUCUUGAUCGCAUGAUCGGGAAAGAAAAGACGGCCUUUGUGCUGUCGCUUAUGGAUGGACCCGCGGCGUAUUAGUUAGUUGGUGAGGUAACGGCUCACCAAGACGAUGAUACGUAGCCGACCUGAGAGGGUGAUCGGCCACAUUGGGACUGAGACACGGCUCAAACUCCUACGGGAGGCAGCAGUAGGGAAUUUUCCGCAAUGGACGAAAGUCUGACGGAGCAACGCCGCGUGAGUGAAGAAAAGGUUUUCGGAUCGUAAAACUCUGUUGUCAGAGAAGAACAAGUUGGAGAGUAACUGCUCCAGCCUUGACGGUAUCUGACCAGAAAGCCACGGCUAACUACGUGCCAGCCGCAGC